CGCUGGCGGCGUGCCUAACACAUGCAAGUCGAGCGGGACGAUACGACGGAAGUGAAGUUUCGGAUGGAGCGGAAGAUGCAUGUUCUAGCGGCGGACGGGUGAGUAACGCGUGAGCAACCUGUCCCUUACAGGGGGAUAACACAGCGAAAGUUGUACUAAUACCGCAUAAGACCACGGGGAGACAUCUUUCAGGGGUCAAAGGAGCAAUCCGGUAAGGGGUGGGCUCGCGUCCGAUUAGAUAGUUGGUGAGGUAACGGCCCACCAAGUCGACGAUCGGUAGCCGACCUGAGAGGGUGAUCGGCCACAUUGGGACUGAGACACGGCCCAAACUCCUACGGGAGGCAGCAGUGGGGAAUAUUGGGCAAUGGGGGGAACCCUGACCCAGCAACGCCGCGUGAGGGAAGAAGGUUUUCGGAUCGUAAACCUCUGUCCUUGGUGAAGAGUGAGAGACGGUAGCCAAGGAGGAAGCCCCGGCUAACUACGUGCCAGCAGCAGC
rnacentral:rRNA from 1 species